rnacentral:lncRNA from 1 species
GCAGCAGGCAAUAGGUGAAAGGCUAUACUAAGCCUUUCCCAGUAAGGUCAGCCAAUUGAGUGCUGCAUACAUCCAAGCUGCCUUUAACCUUUUCCUAGGUUCACCGUGAGGCCUCUAUAAGGAAAGAUGGAUUAAAGAAAAGGAUAGACUUAUUUAACACACGUUUUAUGUGACACGGGAACCUUCAUACGGAAAUGAAGACCUGAAGAAACAGGUUAAAACAAUGAAAAGAAAGCAACUAUUCUGUUGGACUGAACAAUUUAUUUGAAACUUUGACUUCACAAAGACUCAAGUAGCAUUCUUUCAUUUGUUUCAUGGUGUUAGUUGGUUUAACCUUUUUUGACUUGUCCGAGCACAGUGAAUUCACUGCCCACGGGGAGUUUGCUGACCAUCUGCUCUAUGUCAUGUAGAAAAGCCACAGGGCCUUUCUUCCUUUCCUGGUGUCCGUAGUUCCAGAAGGAUUUAGUCAAGAUAAAAUUGCCUCCCAUCUUGAGUUGAUGUGUUUGAAUGUAAGAGUUACCUUUGGAGGGGAAAAGAAAUAACUUUUUUUUUUUUAAUCUAUCAUUAA